CAUGAUUUAGCCAAACCUUAUCAAUAUUUGAGAUUAUUUCCCCUAAAUUCUAAUCCAUAAAGUAAAAGCUCAAUCAUUUCUGUUAGAAAUUUUCACUUUGCAGUGAAACCAAAUUAUUUAAUAGUAUUUGUAUCAACCGAAUCUUGGGAAGCCAUUUAUAUUUUUAAAACUUUGGUAGUUUUCUUUUAUAAUGCUCUUGUGAAAUAUAAAAAAAUAUCCUUUUAGCUUAUAGUCUAUAAUUAGAGAUACAACCAGGAAAAGAAAUAAAAACUGAAAUCCCAAUAGCAGAAUGGAUUUUACAGGCUAAUUAGAAACUUUGAGAGCCUCAAAUUUUAAUUAACACUUUCCAUUUGCAAAUUAGCUGUAGAAAUGGUUGCAUUUUGCUGUCCUUCUCUCCGUAAGGAGCAUAUUUUAAAUAGUGAAUGGAAAAAACAAAAUGGGAAAACAAACCAAGAAUGCAAAUAUUUUGCUUGCUUUAUGUAUUCUUAAGCUUCUCCUCCAAGCCUCACGCCUCCUUCUUUUCAUCAUUAACGAAUAAUCCUCUACUAGAAUGGGGGUAAAGCAGUCAGAAAAUACCAGUAAAACCAAAGUUCUGAAAACAAUUUUAACAAGAACAGUAAUGCUAAAUACCUGGAAUUUUGUUUCAUUGCAGAGUUCUUAGCUCCCUGUUAGACAGAGGCUAGAUGUGGUCACGUUCUUCGGAUUUCAGAAUAAGCCACGAGGGUGCUAGAUGCCAACAGAAUUCCCGAGUUGAUGAAAAUCUUCUUUCUGAUUUAUUUAGAUAAAUCCUGGGAUCAUCUGUGAUUUUAAGAGAUAAAGACACUGCACUGAAUGUGUGCUACUGCAUCUAAGACCCACCGCACUAUCCUUGGAUGUGCUGAACUAGGUGCCUGUUCCAACGUUUGCAACGUUCCAGUUAGUGGUCCCAGACUCUACAGUGUCCAAGAUGCUAGCAUUAGUCUCCGGCAGAAAUGAAACUUGAACCCCAUCUUUCAACUUUGGCUCAGGUCAUGAUGUACAGUUGGUAAGUUCAAGCCCCACAUCGAGCUGUCUGCUGUCAACACAGAGCCCGCUUCGGACACUCUGUACCCCCCUCUGUCUGCUUCCUCCCUGCUCAUACUCUCUCUCUCUCUCUCUCUCUCUCUCUCUCUAUCUCAAAAAUAAACAUUAAAAAAAAAAAAAAGUGCA
rnacentral:lncRNA from 1 species